CAAUAGCGUAUAUUAAAGUUGUUGCAGUUAAAAAGCUCGUAGUUGGAUUUCUGGUGGGAGCGAUCGGUCUGGCGCUUAGCGCGAGUACUUGUAUCGUCUCCGGCCAUCCUUGGGGAGAGUCUGUCUGGCAUUAGGUUGUCGGGCAGAGGAUCCUCAUCGUUUACUGUGAAAAAAUUAGAGUGUUCAAAGCAGGCUUAUGCCGUUGAAUAUAUUAGCAUGGAAUAAUAAGAUAGGACUUUGGUACUAUUUUGUUGGUUUGCGCACCAAAGUAAUGAUUAAUAGGGACAGUUGGGGGUAUUCGUAUUCCGUUGUCAGAGGUGAAAUUCUUGGAUUUACGGAAGACGAACUACUGCGAAAGCAUUUACCAAGGAUGUUUUCAUUA
rnacentral:rRNA from 1 species